AGCCUUUGCAUUGCCCAUUCACUUUUGGAAACUAGUGAAUGGGGUGACAAAAACGGUGCAAAUAAAGCUUUGCAGCCUUUUCCUGUUAUUAAAUUUUGGUAUUUUUGAUGCUGGAGCUGCAUAAACAACAGUA